UGGAGGGACUCAUGGAAUGGUCGGAGUUGAAAGAGGACUAUAAAGAUCAUCCAGUUCCAACCCCCCUGCUGUGGACAGGGACACCUUCAACUAGACCAGCCUGCUCAGAACCCUAUCCAGCUUGGCCCUGAACACUUCCAGGGAUGGGGUAUCCACAACUUUCCAGUGCCUCACCACCCUCACAGUAAAGAAUUUCUUCCUAAUACCUAAUCUAACUCUACUCCCUUUCAAUUUGAACCCAUUUGUUCUUGGCCUUUCACUACGUCUUGUAAAUAGCCUUGCCCCAUCUUUCCUGUAAGUUCCCUUCAGGUACUGGAAGGCCACAAUUAAGUUACCCAAAAAUCUUCUCUUUUCCAGGCUGAAUAAUCCCAAUUCUCUCAGCCUUUCCUCCCAAGAGAGGUGCUCCAUCCCUCUGAUCAACUUGAUGGCCCUCCUCUGGACUCCCUCCAACAGGUCCCUUAUGUGCUGGGGACCCCAGAGCUGGAUGCAGCACUCCAGGUGGGGUCUCAACAGAACAGAGUAGAGGGACAGAACUUGAGUUUAACAGUAUUUCUUUCUGGAUCUGCCUCCUAUUUCUGUCCUUGAAUGGAAGAAGGAUCAUCACAGCCAACCUGCUGUGACUAUUUGUCUCCCUGAAGGCUUCUGGAGGGUGCUGACACAUAACAUCCCGCCACAACUGACAAGCAUAAAACUCAUGUUCUUAUGUGUGAGGGCUUAAGGAAACCAUUGUGGAAACCACUGUUUCUGUACAAUGAAAGAAGUUGCUUUUCAACAGCUGGAAUUAUCCUCAGCCAUAUCAAUCAAAGGAACAUGAUGUAGUUCUUAAAAAACAUACUAGCGAGCUUUAAAAAGUAAACAAAGUGCUGUUAAAAACAAAAAAACUACCUAAAUGAGGUACCAAGAACUCAAGAAUUUUCAGUCUUAGUGCAAAUUAGCAAUUGCAAAUCAGUCUAAUGUCUAUUUAUCUUCAAACAAAGAUUUAGUUUAAAGUAACUACAGCUCCUUACUCAUUCUUCAGUAAUAACCUGAGGAUGAAACUAGCCUUACAUAAGACCAAACUGCAAUCUGAGAGAAAGGCAGAAAUUUGUUAGAAUGGAAAAAUGAAUACUCUUUAAGUAUUCUACAGAUUUCCUAGUUACAAAACAAAACCAACAACAACAGUAUCAUUUGUUCAUGUUUGUAAUUUGAGAUUUUUAAACCAAGGAUGAAAAUACCUUCAUUUUUAUGGAAAGUUCACUAAACUCAAAUUAUUUUAACAAAUUUCACUGUAAGUAAUGGUUUUCAGUUACACAAUCCAUCAAUGUUUUAAAAUGUAACAAGACAACAUGAAUCUCCAGAUGUUCAGGAAUGGUAAUUUAAACGUGUUGAAUAACCUUUAAUUUUUGUUUUCUUUUUUUUUUUCGGUAUAAUCUGCUAAAAUCCUUCUAUAAGCCAAUUAAAACAGGAAAGGAUUUUUAAAAGAGAAUUAAUCAAAGGGCAAACACAGCACAAAGCUGAAACAAAAUACUAUGGAUGCAAAUACCUAAGAUCCAGUGCUGCAGUUUCAGCCAAGUACAAAUGGUCACUGAUGGCAUGGCAUUUCAAAAAGAAAAAAAAAGGGAAAAAAAAGGAAAAAAAAAGAGAAAAAGAAAAAACGUACACGCUGUUACUGCUUCUUUGCGUCUUCAGGAAACUCAAGGACAUUAUCAAACUAUAUUUAUGCAAGCUGUGUUAGUUUUUUCAGGCCAAGGUACAUGAUUCAGUUUCCUUGAUGUAAGAGAUGAGAGCUGGCAGCCCAAAAGAGUUUGCAUAUGUUGUGUCGACGACAAUAGAAAUAAACAGUCGAGGCUAUAUCUGAUGUAAUUCCACAGCACUGUCUGAUUUCUUCAUAGAGAGAAAUGGUCCUAGGAGUGCCUGGGUAUACUCCAAAGAGGAAAAACAUAUGAAUAGUUAUAAAAACCAAAAAAAUAUGUGUGCAUAAAUGUAUGUUUUACAGAUAUAUUUUUAUGUUCCUUGGGAGUCAAAACUCAAAAAGAGUCAAACUUUUUAUGAAUAUAUGUGUAUGUACACACACAUAUUCUAUGUCACCUGCUGUAUUUGAAUGAGAAGUGCCUUUUUUCAGCUUCCCUAUCAAUAUGCUAUUUCAGAGCAUAUUAAAGUAUUUUAAAGAGC